rnacentral:rRNA from 1 species
CCUACGGGAGGCAGCAGUGGGGAAUAUUGCACAAUGGGCGAAAGCCUGAUGCAGCAACGCCGCGUGAAGGAAGAAGGGUUUCGGCUCGUAAACUUCUAUCAACAGGGGCGAAAGAAAUGACGGUACCUGAAUAAGAAGCCCCGGCUAACUACGUGCCAGCAGCCGCGGUAAUACGGAGGGGGCAAGCGUUAUGCGGAAUUACUGGGUGUAAAGGGUGAGUAGGCGGCAUGGUAAGCCAGAUGUGAAAGCCGUGGGAUGAACCCGAGGAUUGCAUUUGGAACUAGCAAGCUAGAGUACAGGAGAGGAAAGCGGAAUGCCUGGUGUAGCGGUGAAAUGCGUAGAUAUUAGGAAGAACACCAGUGGCGAAGGCGGCUUUCUGGACUGAAACUGACGCUGAGGCACGAAAGCGUGGGGAGCGAACAGGAUUAGAUACCCGAGUAGUC